GAUACAGUAGCUUAAUUAAAGCGUCUCAUUGAAAAUGAGGAAGAUGGAUGCUUUAGUACCUUGUGUCA
rnacentral:tRNA from 1 species